rnacentral:rRNA from 1 species
GACGAACGCUGGCGGCGUGCUUAACACAUGCAAGUCGAACGCUGAAGCCCUUCGGGGUGGAUGAGUGGCGAACGGGUGAGUAACACGUGGGUAAUCUGCCCUGCACUCUGGGAUAAGCCUUGGAAACGGGGUCUAAUACCGGAUAGGACACAUCGCCGCAUGGUGUGUGUGUGGAAAGUUCCGGCGGUGCAGGUUGAGCCCGCGGCCUAUCAGCUUGUUGGUGGGGUGAUGGCCUACCAAGGCGACGACGGGUAGCCGGCCUGGGAGGGUGACCGGCCAGCCUGGGACCGGGAAACGGGCCAGACUCCUACGGGAGGCAGCAGUGGGGAAUCCUGCGAAAUGGGCGAAAGCCUGACGCAGCAACGCCGCGUGGGGGAUGACGGCCUUCGGGUUGUAAACCUCUUUCGACCGGGACGAAGGAUUCGUUUGACGGUACCGGUAGAAGAAGCACCGGCUAACUACGUGCCAGCAGCCGCCGUAAUAC